rnacentral:rRNA from 1 species
GUGGGGAAUAUUGGACAAUGGGCGAAAGCCUGAUCCAGCCAUGCCGCGUGUGUGAAGAAGGUCUUCGGAUUGUAGAGCACUUUAAGUUGGGAGGAAGGGCAGUAACUUAAUACCUUGCUGUUUUGACGUUACCAACAGAAUAAGCACCGGCUAACUUCGUGCCAGCAGCCGCGGUAAUACGAAGGGUGCAAGCGUUACUCGGAAUUACUGGGCGUAAAGCGCGCGUAGGUGGUUCAGCAAGUUGAAGGUGAAAUCCCCGGGCUCAACCUGGGAACUGCCUCCCAAACUGCAUGACUAGAGUACAGUAGAGGGUAGUGGAAUUUCCUGUGUAGCGGUGAAAUGCGUAGAUAUAGGAAGGAACACCAGUGGCGAAGGCGACUACCUGGACUGAUACUGACACUGAGGUGCGAAAGCGUGGGGAGCAAACAGGAUUAGAAACCCGUGUAGUCC